rfam:Salmo salar isolate Sally breed double haploid chromosome ssa04, whole genome shotgun sequence.
UAGCUCAGCGGGUUAGAGUGUAGUGCUGGUAACGCCACGGUCGUGGGUUUGAUUCCCGC